rnacentral:lncRNA from 1 species
ACGGGGAGACGAAAAGCAUCCCGCCCCACGAACCCCAGCUCCUCCACGCUUCCUGUCAGCACUGACAACUGAGGCUGGGCGCAGGCAAAAAAGUCCCGGGCGCACCUCCGCCCCGCAUCGAUGCUCGCGGGGGAAUCCUCGCCUGUCUCCCCGGCGCCUGGGGUCGCGCUGGAGAGUCACCCUAUGGGACGCCGGCCGCCCCCCGAGGCGCGCGCGGAGCUUCCCGUCUACCCAGUGCCGGACGAACCGGCUGGAAGUUGGCCGGGGCCGAACGGGCCCUCAAACUGGCGGAUGCGCCUCUUACCUUGGGCAGUGGCCCCGCGCGCCGCCAGCAGCAGCGCGGCCAACAGCGCCAGGAGCGGCGGGCGCGCCCCGCGGCGGCGCGGCCGGUGCAUUCCUCCUCUCGCGGCGGCGGGGGCGGCGGCUCUCAGGCCGCGCGCAGAACAUCCACGGGUUCUGCCCGGGGUCCCAGCCACCUCGUCCCGGUCGCUCACCCUGCAGGAUGCCAGGGGCGUCUGCGAAGUUCUUUGUCCGUCUAACCUGCUCCUUCGCUUUCGCCCGGCCGCUCAGGACCCCGUAAGCGCGGUCCCUCCCCAGCCCUCUGGCUGCAGCCUCGCCGCGGCCGGACAGUCAGUUCAGUCGCGGGUUGUCGGGGUCGCACUCGCGGAGGGCGAGUCUCGCCCGCGCGUAAUCUGAAAACAGCGCGCCCUACGCCCGGGGGCUGCCGUCCCGGGGCUCCCUCCGCGGCGGCCCCGGGGGCGCCCUCCCCGCGCUGCG